AAUUCUCAACCUCACCAGUUUUGUAACGAGACAGGUGAAGGCUUGGAUGUGGGGGUUUUGCAGGCUGCCUCAGUGCUGGUCUGCUCCCCUGAAAUGCAUUAGCGAGCUCAUACUGAGCUUCCGUCUAUUGGUGUGAUAAUAUCUACGCCGUGGACUGGACUCGUGCUUGCUUCUAACCGUCCGCAAGGACAAUCUACUUGACCA
rnacentral:misc_RNA from 1 species